CACAGGAGGACCCUGCUGGGAGAGUGGGAAAGCACUCACAGAGAAGUUGUCACUGAAAUCUUAAAGAAAGAGGUUUUCAGGAGCACAAGAAAAGGAGAGAUGAUGGACACCAUAAUCCUCGAAGAAGGCUUCGUGGAAGAGGGGGAACCUGACCCAGACCUUUAAGAAUGAAGAUAUUGGAUGGGCUGAUAAAAGCGGAGAUGGUCAUUCUGGGAAGGAAAAUGAGAUGAACGAAAGCUUAGAAGAGAAGGAGGUAACACAUGCUCAGAGGAGGGGGAGGCAGAAGACUGGCCUGGACGGGAGGAGAAGGCGAGAAAUGCUCAGAGGAUUAUUGAAGAUGAGCUGAUUCUAAAGAUGCUGUGAUAAAACGAUAUGAAAUUUUUCUUCAGUUUGCAUGUAUCUGCAUGAAACAGAAAUGAAAUAAUAUAUUUCACAGUAUUGUUACUAAGCUA
rnacentral:lncRNA from 1 species